rnacentral:rRNA from 1 species
UACGUAGGGUGCGAGCGUUGUCCGGAAUUAUUGGGCGUAAAGGGCUCGUAGGCGGUUUGUCACGUCGGGAGUGAAAACUCGGGGCCUAACCCCGAGCCUGCUUCCGAUACGGGCUGACUAGAGGUAUGCAGGGGAGAACGGAAUUCCUGGUGUAGCGGUGAAAUGCGCAGAUAUCAGGAGGAACACCGGUGGCGAAGGCGGUUCUCUGGGCAUUACCUGACGCUGAGGAGCGAAAGUGUGGGGAGCGAACAGG